AUGGGUGUGAACUCAAACAGAGUUGAGCACUUAGCUUGCAAUAAUGAUGGCAGCAGCAUGAAGAUGCAAGCUGAGAUACAAAUGCCACCCUUUGAAAUUCACAAGGUUAUGUUGCCACCAGAGCGCACCACCUUGCAAAAACUCAGACACAGACUCUCUGAGAUUUUCUUCCCUGAUGAUCCACUCCAUAGGUUCAAGAACCAAACAUGCCUCAUGAAGCUCCUCCUUGCUCUCCAAUACUUGUUCCCCAUUUUCCAAUGGGCCCCCAACUACAACCUUUCCCUUCUCCGUGCUGACAUCAUCUCUGGUCUCACCAUUGCUAGCCUCGCCAUUCCUCAGGGAAUCAGCUAUGCUAAGCUUGCAAACUUGCCACCUAUUCUUGGAUUAUAUUCCAGUUUUGUGCCUCCGUUGAUAUAUUCACUGCUUGGAAGUUCUAGACAUAUCGGUGUUGGUCCAGUUUCAAUUGCAUCUUUGGUCAUGGGAUCAAUGUUAAGCGAGACGGUUUCUUUUACUCAAGAUCCAAUUCUCUAUCUUAAGUUGGCUUUCACUGCCACUUUCUUUGCCGGUUUGUUCCAAUCUUCUCUGGGCAUAUUAAGGUUAGGAUUUGUAAUUGAUUUUCUCUCAAAGGCAACACUGGUAGGUUUCAUGGCCGGUGCAGCCAUCAUAGUGUCACUGCAGCAGCUGAAAGGGUUGCUUGGAAUAGUUCAUUUCACCAACAAGAUGCAAAUAACACCUGUACUUAUCUCAGUUUUCAAGCAAAGACAUGAGUGGUCAUGGCAAAACGUUGUACUAGGAUUCGGUUUCCUAGCAUUCCUAUUGACAACAAGGCAUAUUAGCUUGAAGAAGCCAAAAUUAUUCUGGGUUUCAGCAGCUGCCCCGUUGACAUCAGUCAUUCUCUCAACUAUUUUAGUAUUUAUUCUCAGAAAUAAGACUCAUAAAAUUCCUAUUAUCGGUGAAUUGCCAAAGGGACUUAAUCCACCAUCAUCAAACAUGUUAUACUUCAGUGGUCCUUAUUUGGCUCUUGCUAUCAAAACAGGACUUGUCACUGGGAUCUUGUCCCUCACUGAAGGAAUUGCAGUGGGGAGAACAUUUGCUGCACUUAAGAAUUACCAGGUGGAUGGAAACAAAGAAAUGAUGGCCAUUGGUCUUAUGAACAUAGCUGGCUCUUGUUCUUCAUGCUAUGUCACUACAGGAUCCUUUUCUCGAUCAGCUGUUAACUAUAACGCCGGGGCUCAGACAGCAGUCUCAAAUAUAAUCAUGGCAUCAGCAGUUCUUGUGACCCUUUUGUUUCUCAUGCCACUGUUCUACUACACACCGAAUGUGGUCUUAGCAGCCAUUAUCAUCACUGCAGUUGUAGGGCUAAUAGAUUACCAAGCUGCAUAUAAAUUGUGGAAGGUUGACAAGCUUGAUUUCUUGGCCUGCUUGUGCUCCUUUUUCGGUGUUCUGUUCAUUUCAGUGCCUUUAGGCCUUGGAAUAGCGGUGGCAAUAUCAGUUUUCAAGAUCCUGCUUCAUGUCUCUCGGCCAAACACAUUGGUUUUGGGGAAUAUACCAGGGACACCAAUAUUCCACAACCUAAACCAAUAUAGAGAAGCUUUGAGGAUUCCUUCAUUUAUCAUUUUGGCUGUUGAGUCUCCUAUCUACUUUGCUAAUUCAACGUACCUCCAAGAAAGGAUACUGAGAUGGGUUCGAGAAGAGGAAGAGCGAGUAAAAGCAAACAAUGAAAGCACAUUGAAGUGCAUAAUUUUGGACAUGACAGCCGUUACAGCCAUAGACACAAGUGGGAUCGAUACUCUAUGUGAACUCAGAAAAGUGCUAGACAAAAGAUCACUUCAGCUUGUGUUGGCAAAUCCUGUUGGAAAUGUGAUGGAAAAGUUGCAUCAAUCAAAUAUUUUGGAUUCCUUUGGGUUGAAAGCAGUCUAUCUUUCAGUAGGAGAAGCUGUGGCUGACAUUUCAUCUGCCUGGAAAGCUCAGCCUUGAUUCCCAUAGAUGAAUUUCUAGGGCAAAAGGAAAAACAUGACUGCUUCUAAUUGUUGGAGAAAACUCUUAACAUCAGAAGUUCUUUGCCUCCCUUAUACAGUCUACUUUGUUUUGGUAGAAACCUUGACAAACAAGGCAUUAGUUCUUCCAGAAGAGCUUUUCUUGUCCUAGGAUUUUACUUUUCUGUAUUCGGUUACUUUUUGUCCAUUUUUGGCUUUUGCUAGAGGGAAAGAGCAUCCAAGCAAAAAUAUUAGGAUGCUUUUAUUCUGUGGACAUUGAUAAAUAUGAAUAGAUAUUUUAAAAGCAGAGAAAGGAUCAAAGA